AUGUUUAGGGCAAGAAAAUGUUAAAGAAGCAGAAGAACAAAAUGUUACGUCAUAUUAGAUUAAGAUUUGCUAAUCACUCAUAGUAAUACCGGAGCCUUUGAACUUGAUAGAAAGUAUGGCAGGCCUCCUCUAUCCCGGGUUCUAUCCAAAUAGGGACAAACAUAUAACCUAGGGCAACGAUUAAUCACAUCUACUUGACUGGAUCUGGGGAUCAGCUAAGAGACUAGCCGUUGGGCACAUCUGUGAGGGGUUUUCUUGAUCAGCUAAAUCGAAGGGGAAAGACACAAAUUCAAGGACCCAGCUUCUCCAGCCUUCCACUGGUCAAUUGCCUGAAGGACAACGGCUCGAGGAUCCUCUAGACCUUCAGGAUCAGGCUGGGACUGCUGAGUCAUUCUGUCCCAGGGACUAAGCAGAUAACGGAUUCUCAGCUUCUCCCAGUGUGAAGGCAGUCACUGUUGGACCACCCAGGCCAUAUUAUGAAAGCCAAUUAAUAAAUCCUCUCUUAAGUAU
rnacentral:lncRNA from 1 species